GAAAAACGUCUCUACAACACUUGGAAUUUGCUUUCCUAGCUUGUAAACAAAUACAUACCCACCUAACUGCCAUAAAUAGGCUUUCGUAAUUAUCUGGUCCGGUUGGAGAUGCAACUAUUAACUCAAUGAACAUAGUAAUACAAACAUAACAAUUAGCAGUACAUAAUUGGCCAAGAGUUUGUGCUGUCUUCCUUGACCAUACUUCAUUUUUGUAGACCAAUAAAUGGUCUAAGACCGGCUGCCAGAAAGUUGUGCAAGAAUAAUAGCCAGUAUGAUGAAGAUGACAACAAUCAGAACUGGACUGUAAUUAGGCUCGUUCCUGAUUAUGUAAGAUUUCCUUUUGUUCAAGGUUCCCGAGUCUCUGCAAGUUUUCAGGAUGGCAUCAAGCCUCUUCAAAGUUUUUGUUGCAUUUGGAUCGUUAUUAUUAACCUUGGAUUUCAGCAUACAAGAAAAGUCAAAAAAAGCACCAUAUACAUCUGCCAUAGUCUUGGUCCGGUCAAUAACCUUAGCAGU
rnacentral:misc_RNA from 1 species